rnacentral:rRNA from 1 species
CACGUAGGGCGCGAGCGUUGUCCGGAAUUAUUGGGCGUAAAGAGCUCGUAGGCGGCCUGUUGCGUCCGCUGUGAAAGCCCGGGGCUUAACCCCCGGGUCUGCAGUGGAUACGGGCAGGCUAGAGGUAGGUAGGGGAGAAUGGAAUUCCCGGUGUAGCGGUGAAAUGCGCAGAUAUCGGGAGGAACACCGGUGGCGAAGGCGGCUAUCUGGCGGUACAUUGACGCUAAGGCGCGAAAGCGUGGGGAGCAAACAGG